UGCCAGCCACCGUGCUGGGCGGUGGAUUCCGGGAUGCCGAGUCUGUCUUCUUGGUUAGAAGGACAAAAACCUCUGCAGUGUAGAGAUUGUGGGCAGACCUAGGCUCCCCCACGGCAUCAGAGCUACCUGCCUCCAACCAACAAAUACUUACUAAGCGCCUACCAUAUACGCCUGGCACCCAGCUAGAUAUCAAGGGGGAACCAAGCCACAGUCCCUCGUCUCCGCAGGCAGAAACAGACGAGCACCUUCUGGAGAUUGUGCGGGCCGGGAAAACCUGCCACAGGUUGCUAAGACCAGCCGUACCCAGGAGACAGCAGGAUUCCCAGCAGCACCCAGCCCAGUAACGCCACCGACUCCCGCGAGCGAGGGCGGAACGGACAGGCACCGAGCAAGGCGCUUGAAGAACCUAUCGUUGUUAUUGCUGUUUUACAGAAGAAGAGACUAAGGCUGCAGACUGCUGAGAGUCCCUCAGCAUCAAGCCCAGGGAGACACUUCCGUGAGCCAGCAGGGUGUGCUGUUCAUCUCCAGUGGGAGUUUCAGCUGCUUCCUUCCUUGGGCCCUCACCACCACUGCUACUAACCUGUCACUUCUGCCUCCUGGUCAGAACACACGAUCUCUCCCUUGUCAAUCACAGACAGCAUCAAGACAGCACUUGGCAUCCUUUCAGCUAUCUGCAAGCCUUGCAGGGUAAGGAAUACAAUACUAAAUAUCUCAGAACCCAGGACUCUGUUGUGGCAUCCUGUAGGAGCUGCACCAGGGACCACCACAGUGAACGAUCACAGGAUAUCCAUGCCUCUACGCUCUGUUCUCUUUAGAGAUGAUAUUUAUACUACAAACUGAAAUGCCACAACCAAAAAGGGUAGGAGCCAAGAAUGAGGUUGCUGGAUCAGUGUUAGAGAUGACAUCCUAGAGAUGUUUUCAGGGUCGUCAAUCACACCGAAGACCUGCCACAUGCCAGGCACAUGUGUACCUCCUCUAAUGUCCACAAUGACUAGAAAGAAAUUUUAUCCCUACUUUACAAAGAUGGGAAAAGGAGGCCUAAGAGGGGUGAAGCUCCCCAGUUUGGGUUGUUUUCCUGUUUUGCUUCUUGAUCAAUUUCUCAUCCAUUUGAACUGCACUUGCUUGAUUCAAACGUCACCACAGAAUGAACUAGGACUGGAAUCCAUUAGUGCCCAUGCCCUCCCCAACACUCCAACUGCCUCCCUCCACAGGUUAUGAGGUGGCAGAAGAGAAUUCCAGAGAGGUUAGUGGUGUGUGUGAGGGCCCCUAAGGCAGGUCUACAGGCAGGCCAGCCUGCCAGCCUCACAGGCACACCUAGGAACAUUUGCACUGGUGAAAGUCUGUCUCAGGGCCUGCCAAGGGCACCUGCCGCAGGCAACACCUAAAGCUCUUCAUACCUUAAGAGAAAGUAAAUUCCAAGAUAUGAGUGGAAGACACCUCAACUUGCGUUUCCCAGCAAGACACCUGCGACUGCAGUCCCUUCUCCCUUUGUAGAGGAUAUUGGGUACUUUCUCUCUCUGCCAUUUCUCUCCACCUAGCAAGAGUGACUCUUCCAUUCAUUACCACAGGAGGAAAAGGUUGAAUAGUAGCACACAGCUGCUUAUGACCACAGAUGAAAACACUCUCGAUUGAUACAUUUUCCCCAUCUGCUUUAUUAUUUUUUUGAGACACAGUCUCACUCUGUCACCCAGGCUGGAGUACAGUGGCACGAUCUUGGCUCGCUGCAAUCUCUGUCUCCCAGGAUCAAGU